rnacentral:rRNA from 1 species
AUAUUGGGCGUAAGGGCUCGCAGGCGGUUUCUUAAGUCUGAUGUGAAAGCCCCCGGCUCAACCGGGGAGGGUCAUUGGAAACUGGGAAACUUGAGUGCAGAAGAGGAGAGUGGAAUUCCACGUGUAGCGGUGAAAUGCGUAGAGAUGUGGAGGAACACCAGUGGCGAAGGCGACUCUCUGGUCUGUAACUGACGCUGAGGAGCGAAAGCGUGGGGAGCGAACAGGAUUAGAUACCCUGGUAGUCCACGCCGUAAACGAUGAGUGCUAAGUGUUAGGGGGUUUCCGCCCCUUAGUGCUGCAGCUAACGCAUUAAGCACUCCGCCUGGGGAGUACGGUCGCAAGACUGAAACUCAAAGGAAUUGACGGGGGCCCGCACAAGCGGUGGAGCAUGUGGUUUAAUUCGAAGCAACGCGAAGAACCUUACCAGGUCUUGACAUCCUCUGACAACCCUAGAGAUAGGGCUUUCCCUUCGGGGACAGAGUGACAGGUGGUGCAUGGUUGUCGUCAGCUCGUGUCGUGAGAUGUUGGGUUAAGUCCCGCAACGAGCGCAACCCUUGAUCUUAGUUGCCAGCAUUCAGUUGGGCACUCUAAGGUGACUGCCGGUGACAAACCGGAGGAAGGUGGGGAUGACGUCAAAUCAUCAUGCCCCUUAUGACCUGGGCUACACACGUGCUACAAUGGACAGAACAAAGGGCUGCAAGACCGCAAGGUUUAGCCAAUCCCAUAAAUCUGUUCUCAGUUCGGAUCGCAGUCUGCGACUCGACUGCGUGAAGCUGGAAUCGCUAGUAAUCGCGGAU